rnacentral:rRNA from 1 species
UACGGGGGGGGCCAGCGUUGUUCGGAAUUACUGGGCGUAAAGGGCGCGUAGGCGGCCUUCUAAGUCAGACGUGAAAUCCCUCGGCUCAACCGGGGAACUGCGUCUGAUACUGGAAGGCUUGAAUCCGGGAGAGGGAUGCGGAAUUCCAGGUGUAGCGGUGAAAUGCGUAGAUAUCUGGAGGAACACCGGUGGCGAAGGCGGCAUCCUGGACCGGUAUUGACGCUGAGGCGCGAAAGCCAGGGGAGCAAACGGG